rnacentral:rRNA from 1 species
UACGUAGGGGGCAAGCGUUGUCCGGAUUUAUUGGGCGUAAAGAGCGUGUAGGCGGCCUGAAAGGUCAGCUGUGAAAACUCGAGGCUCAACCUCGAGACGUCGGUUGAAACCAUCUGGCUAGAGUCCGGAAGAGGAGUGUGGAAUUCCCGGUGUAGCGGUGAAAUGCGCAGAUAUCAGGAGGAACACCAAUGGCGAAGGCAGCUCGCUGGGACGGUACUGACGCUGAGGCACGAAAGCGUGGGGAGCAAACAGG